UACAGAGGGUGCGAGCGUUAAUCGGAAUUACUGGGCGUAAAGCGCACGUAGGCGGCAUCGCAAGUCCCAUGUGAAAGCCCACGGCUUAACCGUGGAAGUGCAUGGGAAACUGCAGUGCUUGAGUACUUAAGAGGAUCGCGGAAUUCCCGGUGUAGAGGUGAAAUUCGUAGAUAUCGGGAGGAACACCAAUUGCGAAGGCAGCUUACUAAACGAUUAUUGACGCUGAGGCACGAAAGCGUGGGGAUCAAACAGG
rnacentral:rRNA from 1 species